rnacentral:rRNA from 1 species
AGUGAACGCUGGCGGUAGGCCUAACACAUGCAAGUCGAACGGCAGCACAGUAAGAGCUUGCUCUUACGGGUGGCGAGUGGCGGACGGGUGAGGAAUACAUCGGAAUCUACUUUUUCGUGGGGGAUAACGUAGGGAAACUUACGCUAAUACCGCAUACGACCUACGGGUGAAAGCAGGGGAUCUUCGGACCUUGCGCGAUUGAAUGAGCCGAUGUCGGAUUAGCUAGUUGGCGGGGUAAAGGCCCACCAAGGCGACGAUCCGUAGCUGGUCUGAGAGGAUGAUCAGCCACACUGGAACUGAGACACGGUCCCGACUCCUACGGGAGGCAGCAGUGGGGAAUAUUGGACAAUGGGCGCAAGCCUGAUCCAGCCAUACCGCGUGGGUGAAGAAGGCCUUCGGGUUGUAAAGCCCUUUUGUUGGGAAAGAAAAGCAGCAGGUUAAUACCCCGCUGUUCUGACGGUACCCAAAGAAUACGCACCGGCUAACUUCGU